ACACCUCUCCUCCUUGUUCUCUUCUCUCACUGCACAGGUUCCCUCUCUCAGACUAUACUGACUCAGUCAUUCUCUCUCUCUGCAUCUCCUGGAGCAUCAGCCAGACUCACCUGCACCCUGAGCAGUGACAUUAGUGUUGGUGGAAAAGCAAUAUUCUGGAACCAGCAGAAACCAGGGAGCCCUCCCCAUUAUCUCCUGUACUACCACACAGACUCAAUUAAGAACCAGGGAUCUGGAGUCUCCAACUACUUCUCUGGAUCCAAAGAUGCCUCAGUCAAUGCACAGAUUCUACACAUUUCUAGGCUUCAGGCUGAAGAUGAGGCUGACUAUUACUGUAUGACUGAUCACAACAAUGCAGCUCACAGUGAAACAGGCAGAUGA